UACAGAGGUCUCAAGCGUUGUUCGGAUUCAUUGGGCGUAAAGGGUGCGUAGGCGGCGCGGUAAGUCGGGUGUGAAAUCUCGGAGCUUAACCCUGAGCCUGCUUCCGAUACGGGCAGACUAGAGGUAUGCAGGGGAGAACGGAAUUCCUGGUGUAGCGGUGAAAUGCGCAGAUAUCGGGAAGAACACCCGUGGCGAAGGCGGCUCUCUGGGACGGUACUGACGCUGAGACGCGAAAGCGUGGGGAGCGAACAGG
rnacentral:rRNA from 1 species